AGUACAGGUAGUAACGUCAUUGGUAGACACAAGGGACUUAAAAUCCCUCGGCCCUUAAAGCCGUGCCGGUUCGAUUCCGGCCCCGGGUACUA
rnacentral:tRNA from 1 species